GACGAACGCUGGCGGCGUGCUUAACACAUGCAAGUCGAACGGUGAAGGGACCGGUUUUUGCUGGUUCUGGAUGAGUGGCGAACGGGUGAGUAACACGUGAGUAACCUGCCCCCUUCUUCUGGAUAACCGCAUGAAAGUGUGGCUAAUACGGGAUAUUCUGCGCCUGCUGCAUGGUGGGUGUGGGAAAGAUAUUGUUUCGGUGGGGGAUGGGCUCGCGGCCUAUCAGCUUGUUGGUGGGGUGAUGGCCUACCAAGGCGGUGACGGGUAGCCGGCCUGAGAGGGUGGACGGUCACACUGGGACUGAGACACGGCCCAGACUCCUGCGGGAGGCAGCAGUGGGGAAUAUUGCACAAUGGGCGCAAGCCUGAUGCAGCGACGCCGCGUGAGGGAUGGAGGCCUUCGGGUUGUAAACCUCUUUCGCCAGUGAAGCAGGCCUGUCCCUUUUGUGGGUGGGUUGACGGUAGCUGGAUAAGAAGCGCCGGCUAACUACGUG
rnacentral:rRNA from 1 species